rnacentral:rRNA from 1 species
GUGCAGCAGGCGAGAAACCUCCGCAAUGCGGGAAACCGUGACGGGGGACCCCGAGUGCCGUGGCAACGCCACGGCUUUUCCGGAGUGUAAAAAGCUCCGGGAAUAAGGGCUGGGCAAGGCCGGUGGCAGCCGCCGCGGUAAUACCGGCGGCCCGAGUGGUGGCCGCUAUUAUUGGGCCUAAAGCGUCCGUAGCCGGGCCCGUAAGUCCCUGGCGAGAUCCCACGGCUCAACCGUGGGGCUUGCUGGGGAUACUGCGGGUCUUGGGACCGGGAGAGGCGGGGGGUACCCCUGGGGUAGGGGUGAAAUCCUAUAAUCCCAGGGGGACCGCCAGUGGCGAAGGCGCCCCGCUGGAACGGGUCCGACGGUGAGGGACGAAGGCCAGGGGAGCAAAACCGGAUUAGAUACCCCCGUAGU